UAACAUUAAGUUACAAUAUAAACGGGCCUGACUCAGUUUAAAAACUGGUUUCCAGCUGGUUCCUGUUCUGCAGAAACAUACAACAUUAAACACAACUUACAGUACAUAAGGACAGAAACAUUUUUACAGGACAUCUGCAUGGACUAGACAGAUACGGACAGCUAAAACAACAAUACAGACACUUGGACAAUACAUGAACAAUCAAUGUGUGCAAGUGUAACUGUUGAGAAGAAAUAGUUUGUGUGCCUUUUUGAAAUAUGUGAUGGAUGGUAGUGCUCUAAUGUCAUGGGGAAUGUCAUUCCAA